UACUAACUCACUUCCAUCAACAUUUCAACUCCUUUCUUUCUCUCUCCAAAAUUCGACUAACCCAAACACACCUCCAUAUUCAUCUUUCAAAAUUCAAAACACAUCAAUUCAAGCAUUUUUGAAUGAACUAAGGUCUUGGUAAAACUUGAAGAUACAUUUGGAGCACCUUAGAAGUCUUGGAGUUCUUGGAUCAUCAUAUCUUCAUCUUGUUUUUAUUAGCAAACUAGUCGAGAAACAAACAAUGAACCAGGAAUCGAAUAGAUAUUUGCACGGAACGCAAAUCUGUGUUUAUAAUAAAGGGACCAUUAAGGAAUAGCAAGUACCGAGGAACAUUUGGCAAGCCCCACUCUUAACGACAAUGAUUACCGCGAUCGUUAAGAGUGCCUUUGUGUCCAAACUAGUGUCGUUGACACACACGAUAAAUUGUCAAGGUUUGGUUGCCUUCUAUUCUGGCAUACAGAUUAGUGUCCUUGCAAAACACUAAUGAUCAAACGAUUUUUCAUCAUACUAUACAAAACAAAUUUUACAACUUCAAAUGUUUUGGAGACUCAUUUGAUGCAAAAACUAAAUAACAUGAAUUCACCAACUUUUGUUGACGUUUUCAAAACUAACAUGUA